UACGAAGGGGGCUAGCGUUGCUCGGAAUCACUGGGCGUAAAGGGUGCGUAGGCGGGUCUUUAAGUCAGGGGUGAAAUCCUGGAGCUCAACUCCAGAACUGCCUUUGAUACUGAAGAUCUUGAGUCCGGUAGAGGAGUGUGGAAUUCCCGGUGUAGCGGUGAAAUGCGCAGAUAUCGGGAGGAACACCAGUAGCGAAGGCGGCACUCUGGGCCGGUACUGACGCUGAGGAGCGAAAGCGUGGGGAGCAAACAGG
rnacentral:rRNA from 1 species